CUGUGAACUAUUCUUACUUGAAAACAUUUGGCUGUGUUGUAUAUGCUCAUCAAAACAUAGGAAAACUUGAACCUAGAUCCCUUAAAUGUGUGUUUUUGGGUUAUGCUGAAAAUGUUAAAGGAUAUAGGCUGCGGGUUUAUGGGAAAAAAGGUUACAGGGUUAUUAUAAGAAGGGAUGUGGUUUUUAAUGAGUUGUGUAUGCCAUGUUUGGAAAGGAAAGAGGGAAAUUUGACUGAAAAUAAUGUCCAAAUUGAGGUGGAACCUAUUAAAAUUGACAAUACCAGUUCUGUCCCCCUAGAAGCAGCAACUAAUGAGGCUGACCAUAAUGAAAAUGAGCCUAAUUUGGCUGAACCUGAGUAGUAUAAUGAAGAUAAUACACCUCUAGAUGAAUACCAACUCACUAGAGACAGGGAUAGGAGACGAAUUAGACCACCAGCUAGGUUUAAUGGUGAUGACUUUGUGUCGUUGCUCACUUAUCAAGAUGAAUCUGAAGCUGAACCUAGUUCCUACCAUGAAGCUUUAAAAUCGAAAGAUUUUAAGCGAUGGUUAAUUGCUAUGGAAGAAGAGAUGUCUUCCCUAUACAAAAAUAAAACUUGGGAAAUGGUUGAUAGACCUAAGGAUAAGAAACUAGUUGAUUGCAAAUGGAUUUAUAAGAUAAAGGAAGGGGAAGAUGGAACUAACAAUGUUAGAUACAAG
rnacentral:lncRNA from 1 species